UAUAGAACUAGGAGAUAGUAACAGAACCUGGAAUAUAGAACUAGGAGACAAUUACAGAACCUGGAAUAUAGAACUAGGAGAUAGUUACAGAACCUGGAAAAUAGAACUAGGAGAUAGUUACAGAACCUGGAAUAUAGAACUAGGAGACAGUUACAGAACCUGGAAUAUAGAACUAGGAGGCAGAUACAGAAUCUGGAAUAUAGAACUAGGAGACAGAUAUAGAAUCUGGAAUAUAGAACUAGGAGACAGAAUAUAGAACUAGGAGACAAUUACAGAACCUGGAAUAUAGAACUAGGAGACAGUUACAGAACCUGGAAUAUAGAACUAGGAGGCAGAUACAGAAUCUGGAAUAUAGAACUAGGAGACAGAUAUAGAAUCUGGAAUAUAGAACUAGGAGACAGAAUAUAGAACUAGGAGACAGUUACAGAACCUGGAAUAUAGAACUAGGAGACAGAUAUAGAACCUGGAAUAUAGAACUAGGAGACAGAUAUAGAACCUGGAAUAUAGAACUAGGAGACAGAUAUAGAACCUGGAAUAUAGAACUAGGAGAUAGUUACAGAACCUGGAAAAUAGAACUAGGAGAUAGUAACAGAACCUGGAAUAUAGAACUAGGAGACAAUUACAGAACCUGGAAUAUAGAACUAGGAGACCAUUACAGAACCUGGAAUAUAGAACUAGGAGACCAUUACAGAACCUGGAAUAUAGAACUAGGAGACAAAUAUAGAAUCUGGAAUAUAGAACUAGGAGACAGUUACAGAGAGAAUCUGGAAUAUAGAACUAGGAGACAGUUACAGAGAGAAUCUGGAAUAUAGAACUAGGAGACAGUUACAGAGAGAAUCUGGAAUAUAGAACUAGGAGACAGAUAUAGAACCUGGAAUAUAGAACUAGGAGAGAGUUACAGAACCUGGAAUAUAGAACUAGGAGAAAGUUACAGAAUCUGGAAUAUAGAACUAGGAGACAGAAUAUAGAACCUGGGCCCAUAUUUACUAAAGUUCGUAGACGUAAACGUAGGAUUUACGUCUGACUUAAGAUUAGAGUUACGUACUCAUAAAAUGGUAUUCACAAAACCGUUCGUAGCCGCAAACGUAACUUACGAUGUACGAUUGCACUUACGCGUGCGCAGUGGCUAUUUUCACUUCGAAGCGUAAAAAGUGUGAAUUUGCUCAUUUACCUUGAAUUCCCUGCGCUACCGCCGCAUUAUGACGAAAAAGAACACAGAACUUUGUGAGAAAGCAACGAAUUUCAACGUAUACGUAUGCCUGCCAACGGCAUGUCGAUCAACUGUACCGUUAUUCAGUGUUGUUUACAAAUCCAAAUGGAAGGUUCAUCAAAUUUAACGCAUUUGACUUGUGCAUGGAUCUUCGAUGCUGUAGGUGUUCAAAAAGAAGUCGGCAUGGACUGACAAGGUCAUAAAGGUGGUCAAGAAAUAAAUUGCCAACAGACAGCAGCAUUCCUUGAUUUAGAUGCAUUUCUCUUCAUGUCCUCUCCUGAAAGAUUUUCCAUGAUGCCUCAGGGUUAGGAUUGGGAUGCAAGAUGUACAGUACAUAUAUAUGAUGUCUAUGGGUACAUUGCUGUAAUGGCCUGAAAAAUCUUUUGCAAAACCGAGAAAUGUUCAUCUUCCAUUGUCAUGAUUGUGUAAAAGGACGAGCAGAAGAAUGAUUCAAAAAUAUAUGGCAGGAUUGAGAAUCUAACCCAUGACCCGUAGUCUGGUACUCUACCCACUGAUCAAUCCAUGCUGAUGGUCCAUCUGCUACAUUGAUGUCAUCUUAUAUAUUUAUUUAUUCAUUUAUAUCAUAUGGACAUUUAAAAAUUGACAGUAAAAUAAAAAAAAGUUUGAUAUUCAGCAAAAUAGAAUUUGUUACAAUACAUGUUUAAGAAAUUAAGUACAUGUACAUGCAUUGUUAUACAUACAAUUAUGUACAUGUAAUUAUAUUUGUUAAUAGAUAAAUUUUUAGAUAAA